GAAGUGAAUAAAAUAGCUUUGGUGAAGCGAACCCGGGGAACUGAAACAUCUCAGUACCCGGAGGAAAGGACAUCAACGAGACUCCGUUAGUAGUGGCGAGCGAACGCGGACCAGGCCAGUGCCGACAAGUGAAUUAGCAGAACGAUUUGGAAAGAUCGGCCAUAGCGGGUGACAGCCCCGUAUGCGAAAGUGAAAUUGUCGGACUUGAGUAGGGCGGGACACGUGUAAUCCUGUCUGAACAUAGGGGGACCACCCUCUAAGCCUAAAUACUCGUAUGCGACCGAUAGCGAACUAGUACCGUGAGGGAAAGGUGAAAAGCACCCCGAUGAGGGGAGUGAAACAGUACCUGAAACGGAUUGCCUACAAGCAGUUGGAGGGUCCUUGAGGCCUGACAGCGUACCUCUUGCAUAAUGGGUCUGUGACUUAAUGUAUCAAGCAAGCUUAAGCCGUUAGGUGUAGGCGCAGCGAAAGCGAGUCUGAAUAGGGCGCCAGAGUUUGAUGUAUUAGACCCGAAACCCGGCGAUCUAGGCAUGACCAGGAUGAAGGUGCGGUAACACGCACUGGAGGUCCGAACCGAUUAACGUUGAAAAGUUACCGGAUGAGUUGUGUUUAGGGGUGAAAGGCCAAUCAAGCCGGGAAAUAGCUGGUUCUCCGCGAAAACUAUUGAGGUAGUGCCUCGAGCGAAUACCGUAGGGGGUAGAGCACUGGAUGGAUGCGGGGGUCGCGAGACCUACCAACUCUAACCAAACUCCGAAUACCCAAGAGUACUAUCCGGCAGACAGACGGUGGGUGCUAACGUCCAUCGUCAAAAGGGAAACAACCCUGACCGCCAGCUAAGGCCCCCAAAUCAUGGCUAAGUGUGAAAGGAUGUGGGGAUCCCAAAACAA
rnacentral:rRNA from 1 species